rnacentral:rRNA from 1 species
AUUGAACGCUGGCGGCAGGCCUAACACAUGCAAGUCGAGCGGAUGAGAGGAGCUUGCUUCUCGAUUCAGCGGCGGACGGGUGAGUAAUGCCUAGGAAUCUGCCUGGUAGUGGGGGACAACGUUUCGAAAGGAACGCUAAUACCGCAUACGUCCUACGGGAGAAAGCAGGGGACCUUCGGGCCUUGCGCUAUCAGAUGAGUCUAGGUCGGAUUAGCUAGUUGGUGAGGUAAUGGCUCACCAAGGCGACGAUCCGUAACUGGUCUGAGAGGAUGAUCAGUCACACUGGAACUGAGACACGGUCCAGACUCCUACGGGAGUCAGCAGUGGGGAAUAUUGGACAAUGGGCGAAAGCCUGAUCCAGCCAUGCCGCGUGUGUGAAGAAGGUCUUCGGAUUGUAAAGCACUUUAAGUUGGGAGGAAGGGUUGUAGAUUAAUACUCUGCAAUUUUGACGUUACCGACAGAAUAAGCACCGGCUAACUCUGUGCCAGCAGCCGCCGUAACAC